rnacentral:rRNA from 1 species
AAUGAACGCUGGCGGCGUGCUUUACACAUGCAAGUCGAGCGAGGCCAGGUAGCAAUACCUGAGUCGAGCGGCGCACGGGUGAGUAACGCGUGGAUAACCUGCCUGAAGGUGGGGGAUAACCCGGGGAAACUCGGGCUAAUACCGCAUAACACCGAGAGGUCAAAGGGGGCUCGCAAGGGCUCUCGCCGGCAGAGGGGUCCGCGUCCGAUUAGCUAGUUGGCAGGGUAAUGGCCUACCAAGGCGACGAUCGGUAGCCGGCCUGAGAGGGUGAUCGGCCACACUGGAGCUGAGACACGGUCCAGACUCCUACGGGAGGCAGCAGUGGGGAAUUUUGCGCAAUGGGCGAAAGCCUGACGCAGCAACGCCGCGUGGAGGAUGAAGGUCUUCGGAUUGUAAACUCCUGUCAGUGGGGAAAAAGGGGAACGUGCUCAUACCACGUUUCAUUGAUUGUACCCGCAGAGGAAGCCCCGGCUAACUCUGUGCCAGCAGCCGCCGUAAGAC